rnacentral:tRNA from 1 species
GGUCCUGUGGUCUAGCGGUUAUGACAUCUGACUUUGAAUCAGAAGAUCGCGAGUUCAAUCCUCGCCAAGACCU